CACACAGCUCUAACUGCACUCACACAGCUCUAACUGCACUCACACAGCUCUAACUGCACUCGCACUAGCAGCUCAUACUGUGCGAUUUUGGCAACAACAUCGGACUCUGUCGUCUUUGCUGUUUCCUUUUUCUCUGCGGCGGUUGUAAACACUUCCUGUUCCAGCGCGGUUUCAUGUUCGCUUAGAUUAAAGUUUUGAAACUUUGGGACUACGUUGUUUACAUCGGUUUGAUCCUUAAACAAGACUUGGGUGAAGAAUUUCUGUUGGGAAUCCUCGACUUCACGCUGUCUGGAAGCUUCGCUCGAAGCAAAGUUAACGGAAAUGAGCUUCUUAUUUGCUGUUUUAGUGAACAUCAACGCACCUGCGGUUCGGCUGUAUAGGCAGGAGGCGGCAGGUAAUCAUAAUUGAGUGUUUUCUUGCAAGAGUUCUUUAACCAAGAGAUUCAUAUCGAGUCACUGACAUUUCAGACACAGUAGUUUCCAAAGAAGCCACGGAAUAAGUGUAGCGACGGUUUCGAUAAUAAUGAACAGGUGCUAGAAUUGUAAUUUUAUGUAGAACACAGACAAGUGGAGUUAUACAAGCGGUGAAAUGGGCCAGUGCAGUUAUACUAAAUAUCAGCACUCUUGUAUGGAUGCUUGCGCCAUCAAUUUACUGCAGUAAGAACCACACGGCAUACGUUUUAACUGUUUAUAGUCGUAUUUAAUGUUGUGGAUCAUCCAUGAAACAAUCUAGUUCUUGUUAUCAUUUAAGUUAUAGCAGAUAUAAAUAGCCAUAACAUCACCAGCCUCUCUUUCUUUU
ensembl:lncRNA